GACGAACGCUGGCGGCGUGCUUAACACAUGCAAGUCGAACGGAAAGGCCCUGCUUUUGUGGGGUGCUCGAGUGGCGAACGGGUGAGUAACACGUGAGUAACCUGCCCUUGACUUUGGGAUAACUUCAGGAAACUGGGGCUAAUACCGGAUAGGAGCUCCUGCUGCAUGGUGGGGGUUGGAAAGUUUCGGCGGUUGGGGAUGGACUCGCGGCUCAUCAGCUUGUUGGUGGGGUAGUGGCUUACCAAGGCUUUGACGGGUAGCCGGCCUGAGAGGGUGACCGGCCACAUUGGGACUGAGAUACGGCCCAGACUCCUACGGGAGGCAGCAGUGGGGAAUAUUGCACAAUGGGCGGAAGCCUGAUGCAACAACGCCGCGUGCGGGAUGACGGCCUUCGGGUUGUAAACCGCUUUCGCCUGUGACGAAGCGUGAGUGACGGUAAUGGGUAAAGAAGCACCGGCUAACUACGUG
rnacentral:rRNA from 1 species